AGAGUUUGAUCCUGGCUCAGGAUGAACGCUAGCGGGAGGCUUAACACAUGCAAGUCGUGGGGCAGCAUAAUGUAGCAUACGUUGAUGGCGACCGGCGCACGGGUGAGUAACGCGUAUGCAACUACCCUGUACAGGGGGAUAGCCCGGAGAAAUUCGGAUUAAUACCCCAUAAAGAUAUUUGAUGGCAUCAUAGAUAUUUAAAGUUUGGCGGUACGGGAUGGGCAUGCGUAACAUUAGCUAGUUGGUAGGGUAACGGCCUACCAAGGCAACGAUGUUUAGGGGUCCUGAGAGGGUGAUCCCCCACACUGGUACUGAGACACGGACCAGACUCCUACGGGAGGCAGCAGUGAGGAAUAUUGGUCAAUGGGCGCAAGCCUGAACCAGCCAUCCCGCGUGGAGGAAGACGGCGCUAUGCGUUGUAAACUUCUUUUCCAGAGGAAUAAAAUUUUGUACGAGUACGGAACUGAAGGUACUCUGGGAAUAAGCAUCGGCUAACUCCGUGCCAGCAGCCGCGGUAAUACGGAGGAUGCAAGCGUUAUCCGGAUUUAUUGGGUUUAAAGGGUGCGUAGGCGGAUUAAUAAGUCAGUGGUGAAAACCUUCAGCUUAACUGGAGACUUGCCAUUGAUACUGUUAGUCUUGAGUAUGGUUAAGGUAGGCGGAAUGUGUAAUGUAGCGGUGAAAUGCUUAGAUAUUACACAGAACACCGAUUGCGAAGGCAGCUUACUGAGCCAUAACUGACGCUGAUGCACGAAAGCGUGGGGAGCGAACAGGAUUAGAUACCCUGGUAGUC
rnacentral:rRNA from 1 species